AAGUAGAAAGCAAUAUACACCAAUGCCAUCUUAGAAAGGAGGCCACGGAAGAAGAUUAACGCUACAUACGCCACCAUUUUGUGGACAUUUCUACUUGUGCAGUACGAACGAAGGGUUGUGUGUUACGAGACUACGAAAUCCACCGAACCAACAUAUACAUUCAAACGCAAUGUCACGUUAUCGUGAAUGGGAUCCUUCAUGUAAAGUUUAUGUUGGUAAUUUAGGAAACAGUGCUAGUAAACAUGAAAUUGAAAGUGCAUUCAGUAAAUAUGGUCCACUCAGAAAUGUGUGGGUUGCAAGAAAACCACCUGGUUUUGCAUUUGUGGAAUUUGAAGACCCACGAGAUGCAGAAGAUGCAGUUAGAGGGUUAGAUGGAACACGCUGUUGUGGGACCAGAGUGAGAGUAGAAAUGUCUUCAGGAAGAAGUAGACGUGGAGGUGGGAGGAGAUCAGGUCCAAGAUAUUCCAGGUCCAGAUCUUGCAGUCCUCGAAGGAGAUCACUGGGUCGUUAUCCAAGGUCCUGGUCAAGAAGCCCACGGAGAUCGCCAAUAAGCCGAUAUUCUAGAUUCUACCAGCGUCAGCUCCUAGCUCUGCUCGUCUCCCCGCCACUACUACUACUACUACUGCUACUACUACUACUACUACAGCCACCGUGAAAAAAAGUCUAGCAAUCAAAACUGAACAAAAAAAAAGCCUGCCUGCCCACUAACUUCCCAACCAGUCACCAUCAGUCACCACCAGUCACCGGUAGGAGCCAAGUCGUCCGUCAGUUGACAGUCCGAUGCUGUCCGUCAGUCCGUCUGUUCCCCUUCAAAAAGACUUCUUCGGGCUACCUCAACCUCUAGCGGCUAGGAGCAUCGUGAAUCCAUCGAACAGCCGACGCGAUAUGAACGAAUACUUCUGUCAAAAUCUCGGCGCGUCAGUCCGUCCGUCCGUCCCAACUUCUACUACUACUACUACUGCUACUACUACUACUACUACUACUCGUCAACCAUCACGUUAAACUUAGCCGACAACGCGUCCGCCACUUCUCUUCGACUGAGCAAAGCAAAAUGAUCACCACCUACACACCAUCCCACCACCACCCAACCAAGUACCACCACCACCAACCACCACUACAUGUUCACAGUUGUCUGGUCAAGAUCCCGUAGCCCUCGCAGGAGAUCACUGAGCCGUAGCCGUAGCCGAGACCGCCGUUCUCGUUCGGAUUCCCGUGACAGACGGUACUAAUAUUACCACAAAUUAAAAAAAACGAACCAGAAAAAAUAUAUGUAUAGAAAAGAAGCAGAGAUCGAAUCUUGCACUUGCAACAUAAAGAAAAUUGUCAUCGUAUGUGUUUUUCUACUGUUCAACGUGGAAGAAAGAUGAAAGAAACUCAUGAAUUUAUAGCAUUCCCAGUACUUCUUAACUAAACAAAGUUUUAGUUUUCGUUUUCAGAGUUAAUAUGCGAUAGUAAGCAUUCUGAAACAAUCGUGUUGCAAGAAUUCGCCUGUUCUAUUCUCUUUACAAUGAAAUUCCCGGUUUCCAGUGCAAAAAAGCGAUGUAGUGAAUUUACAUCGAGGAUCAGGUGUAUAUUUUCUAAAUGUUUUUUCUAUUUACUUACAGUUAGGUGCUAAAAGUGUUUGAGAGAACGGAUCGACUAAAUGUGCCGGAUGGAAGAUAAAGAAAACCGAUUUUAUAUGUACAUAAAAAAGAUAAUCGUUACCACGCGUACAUAUUCUGUCGAAGCAAUGAUAAUACGAUUAAAAGACAUUCAUAAGAGAUAUGGAAUAAUACACGUACAUAAUGUUUAGCAUUUAAGUUGUUAACACUUUGUACACGCAUAAAACCUUGCUUAUGUGCGUAAAACUUAGACACAUAUACCCAGGCGUGUGUAGUUGGUUUCACAUGCACGAUACAUUUUCACCGAUGCAUACACAUUAUGUAUAGAAAGGUAUUUUACACGCAACAAAAUUAUUUGUGAUGUAAGCUAUCGAGUACGAUAAAUCUCUUACGGAACGUACUCAUUGCUUCAAAGUGUACGGGUGAGACAAAAAGAAUUCGGUUGCAAUUAAGAACAAUUAUAACGAUAAGCAUAACAGUGAGACAUUUUUAUGUGAAGAAGUUCAUGAAGAAAUAGAAGGAACGGCCGUUUUACGUUGUAUUAAUUAUUUUGUACUCUUACGAAUUUAAGACUUUAAAAUAAAAAUGUAUGGUAUAAUUAUUUUGGCUUUCCUAUUGCAAAUAGCAGUUUGAUGUUCAUUAAAAGAAAAUAAUAAAGUAUCGAAGUAAUAGCA